CGGGAGGCAGCAGUGGGGAAUUUGGACAAUGGGCGAAAGCCUGAUCCAGCAAUGCCGCGUGAGUGAAGAAGGCCUUCGGGUUGUAAAGCUCUUUUGUCAGGGAAGAAACGGUGUGGGCUAAUAUCCCGCACUAAUGACGGUACCUGAAGAAUAAGCACCGGCUAACUACGUGCCAGCAGCCGCGGUAAUACGUAGGGUGCAAGCGUUAAUCGGAAUUACUGGGCGUAAAGCGUGCGCAGGCGGUUUUGUAAGUCUGUCGUGAAAGCCCCGGGCUCAACCUGGGAAUUGCGAUGGAGACUGCAAGGCUUGAAUCUGGCAGAGGGGGGUAGAAUUCCACGUGUAGCAGUGAAAUGCGUAGAGAUGUGGAGGAACACCGAUGACGAAGGCAGCCCCCUGGGUCAAGAUUGACGCUCAUGCACGAAAGCGUGGGGAGCAAACAGGAUUAGAUACCCUGGUAGUCCACGCCCUAAACGAUGUCUACUAGUUGUCGGGUUUUAAUUAACUUGGUAACGCAGCUAACGCGUGAAGUAGACCGCCUGGGGAGUACGGUCGCAAGAUUAAAACUCAAAGGAAUUGACGGGGACCCGCACAAGCGGUGGAUGAUGUGGAUUAAUUCGAUGCAACGCGAAAAACCUUACCUACCCUUGACAUGGACGGAAGCCACGAGAGAUCGAGGUGUGCUCGAAAGAGAACCGUCACACAGGUGCUGCAUGGCUGUCGUCAGCUCGUGUCGUGAGAUGUUGGGUUAAGUCCCGCAACGAGCGCAACCCUUGUCAUUAGUUGCUACGAAAGAGCACUCUAAUGAGACUGCCGGUGACAAACCGGAGGAAGGUGGGGAUGACGUCAAGUCCUCAUGGCCCUUAUGGGUAGGGCUUCACACGUCAUACAAUGGUACAUACAGAGGGCCGCCAACCCGCGAGGGGGAGCUAAUCCCAGAAAGUGUAUCGUAGUCCGGAUUGUAGUCUGCAACUCGACUACAUGAAGUUGGAAUCGCUA
rnacentral:rRNA from 1 species